UGGCUCUCGCAUCGAUGAAGAACGCAGCGAAAUGCGAUAAGUAAUGUGAAUUGCAGAAUUCAGUGAAUCAUCGAAUCUUUGAACGCACCUUGCGCUCCUUGGUAUUCCGAGGAGCAUGCCUGUUUGAGUGUCAUUAAAUUCUCAAACCUUUAUUUGUUUACAAAUGAAGGCUUUGGAUGUGGGAGUUGCUGGAUUCUUAUGAAUUCAGCUCUUCUUAAAUGUAUUAGUGGUUAUCGAUCCCAUUACUUGGUGUGAUAAUAUCUACGCCUUGCAAGAAAGAUCAUAUGUGACUGCUUUCAAACCGUCGCAAGACAACUUGAACCAUUUGACCUCAAAUCAGGUAGGACUACCCGCUGA
rnacentral:misc_RNA from 1 species